rnacentral:rRNA from 1 species
UGAGGAACAUGACCUUCGGCGGGGGAUAGCCGGCCCAACGGCCGGGUAAUACCGCGUACGACCACAUGGGGACAUCCCUGAGUGGUGAAAGCAGCAAUGCGCCGAUGGAGUGCCUCGCGGCCUAUCAGCUAGUUGGUGAGGUAACGGCUCACCAAGGCGACGACGGGUAGCCGGCCUGAGAGGGUGACCGGCCACACGUGGGACUGAGACACCGGCCCAGACCUCCGUACGGGGAGGNAGCG